GCCAUCGAAAAAGUCUUGGACUAGGAAAAGCCCAGGGGUACUAGAUAUUGCAACGGUGGCACAUAAGGAAAGCAGUAACAGCAUUUCAUUAGGAUAUUUUAUUACCUGGAAGGAUUUUUUAAAGGAGAAAAUUUAUGUACUUCAUAUAUUUAAUUUGUACUCGAAUAUUUGAAAUGCUUCUUUUGACUAUAUGUAUAUAUAUUAUAUAUAUAUUCUUUUCUAUUUUUAUCACAGAGAGUAAGAUCGCUGAAAUCUCCAUAUUUAUAUUCAUAUAGUAAAAGCCUUCAUUAUAUAAAAAUUAUCUACAAUGCCCACUCACAGGUCAAGUGUAUCUAACUCCGAGUUAGGAAACUGUAUACUGAAGUACAGCCCCGUC
rnacentral:lncRNA from 1 species